rnacentral:tRNA from 1 species
GGAACGUGGCGAUAGCUGGCGGGCUACGCUCUAGCCCUCCGAAGGCAGAGGUCGGAGGUUCGAAUCCUCUCGAGUCCGCCA